GAUGAAGAACGCAGCGAAAUGCGAUAAGUAGUGUGAAUUGCAGAAUUCAGUGAAUCAUCGAAUCUUUGAACGCACAUUGCGGCCAUAGGUAUUCCUUUGGCCAUGCCUGUUCGAGCGUCAUUUACACCCUCAUGCCUAGCUUGGUGUUGGGCGCCUGUCCCGCCGUUUUCGCGCGCGGACUCGCCUCAAAGUCAUUGGCGGCGGUCGUGCCGGCCCCCUCGCGCAGCACAUUUGCGCUUCUCGGAGGCCCGGCGGAUCCGCGCUCCAGCAAGACCUUUCACGACUUGACCUCGGAUCAGGUAGGGAUACCCGCUGAACUUAAGCAUAUCAAUAAGCGGAGGA
rnacentral:misc_RNA from 1 species